GACGAACGCUGGCGGCGUGCUUAACACAUGCAAGUCGAACGGAAAGGCCUCUUUCGGGGGGUACUCGAGUGGCGAACGGGUGAGUAACACGUGAGUAACCUGCCCUUGACUUUGGGAUAACCUCAGGAAACUGGGGCUAAUACCGGAUAGGAGCUCCUGCUGCAUGGUGGGGGUUGGAAAGUUUCGGCGGUUGGGGAUGGACUCGCGGCUUAUCAGCUUGUUGGUGGGGUAGUGGCUUACCAAGGCUUUGACGGGUAGCCGGCCUGAGAGGGUGACCGGCCACAUUGGGACUGAGAUACGGCCCAGACUCCUACGGGAGGCAGCAGUGGGGAAUAUUGCACAGUGGGUGGAAGCCUGAUGCAGCAACGCCGUGUGCGGGAUGACGGCCUUCGGGUUGUAAACCGCUUUAGCUCAUGACGAAGCUUUGUGUGACGGUAGUGGGUAAAGAAGCACCGGCUAACUACGUG
rnacentral:rRNA from 1 species